UAUGAAACCCAUUUAAGCGAGAGUAGUACUAGGAUGGGUGACCUCCUGGGAAGUCCUCGUGAAAGGGUUUCAUAU
rnacentral:rRNA from 2 species